UACGUAAGGUGCAAGCGUUGUCCGGAAUUAUUGGGCGUAAAGAGCUCGUAGGCGGUCUGUCGCGUCUGCUGUGAAAACCUAGGGCUUAACUCUGGGCGUGCAGUGGGUACGGGCAGGCUAGAGUGCGGUAGGGGAGACUGGAAUCCUGGCGUAGCGGUGGAAUGCGCAGAUAUCAGGAGGAACACCGGUGGCGAAGGCGGGUCUCUGGGCAGUAACUGACGCUGAGGAGCGAAAGCGUGGGGAGCGAACAGG
rnacentral:rRNA from 1 species